AACGAACGCUGUCGGCAGGCUUAACACAUGCAAGUCGAGCGCUGUAGCAAUACAGAGCGGCAGACGGGUGAGUAACGCGUGGGAACGUACCCUUUGCUACGGAAUAGCUCCGGGAAACUGGAAUUAAUACCGUAUGUGCCCUUCGGGGGAAAGAUUUAUCGGCAAAGGAUCGGCCCGCGUUGGUUUAGCUAGUUGGUGGGGUAAAGGCCUACCAAGGCGACGAUCCAUAGCUGGUCUGAGAGGAUGAUCAGCCACAUUGGGACUGAGACACGGCCCAAACUCCUACUGGAGGCAGCAGUUGGGAAUAUUCGACAAUUCGCGGAAGCCUGAUCCAGCCAUGCCGCGUGAGUGAUGAAGGCCUUAGGGUUGUAAAGCUCUUUCACCGGUGAAAAUAAUGACGGUAACCGGAGAAGAAGCCCCAGCUAACUUCGUGCCAGCAGCCGCCGCAGUAA
rnacentral:rRNA from 1 species